rnacentral:lncRNA from 1 species
AAUGGGCUUAGAAUCAUAGCGCUGCCGCAGGUCUCGGGGCUGGUAGUAGCGCUGCCUGCAAACCAGCACCAAGGCUGCAAACGAAGCCAGAAAGAUGGUGGCCAGCACACCUAUGGCAACUAUCACCACGGUCUCCAUGCUUCCGGGGAGCUCCUGACUCAGUCCCGUUCACAUCGUCCUCAUGGGCUAAGGCUGCUGGAAGUGGCAAACUGGGGGAAGAGGAUGGCAGGAGCUAGGUUCCUCCACGACACCUCCAGAGACCUGAGGGCCUCAAGCUGCAGCUCCGGGGCACAUCCCGCUGCGCUCCCACGACGGCCCCGCGGAUGGCAAAGUCAGCGGCAUCGCCUAUGCAGGCAAUCAAAGGAUGUUGAUGGAUAAGUGUUUCAGGCAGAAUAAUGGCCCUCAAAGAUGUUGACACCAGAAUCUUCAGAACCUUUGCAUAUGUUACCUAACAUGACAAAAGGGACUUUGCUGAUGUGAUUAAGGUUAAGAACUUUGAGAAGGGAAGAUUAUCCUGGAUUAUACAGGUCGACGUUUAUUUCUUUCUGAACUUUCCUGGAGGAUCAUCGGCCAUACUCCAGCAGAAGGGUGGAUUUGAAAAAAUAACGAGAUACUCCCAAAGUCCCAUCCAGUUAUAUCAUCAGGUUGAAAUUCCAGGAUCUCUUGGUGAUGGGUAGUUAUCUCCAAGUGUGGCUCCUGGGGUCAGAUCACCUACAGUCUAAGAGAAGGUUCUUUUUCUCCGCCAAUGGUGAUAGAUUUGGCACCAAAAAAAGAAGAGAAGAAACAUGACAGUCAUUGUUUCCACAGUGAUUUUAGGUUGUUUUAUUAAAGUUCAUUGCUGAGAACACAAAGGCUGAUGCCACAGAGGGGAAAACGCCAGAUCCACCACCGAACAGCUAAAGCCAUAUGCGCCUGCUCCAUGAAUGCCCAUUUUUCAUCUUUAGUGGGCUUCAAAGUUAAAUAGCACAGACAACACAAAGGAAAAUAUGACCGCAGCAAAAGACAGAAACUACACUGUGGCUACAAUUAAAUCUUCAUACCAAUCA